rnacentral:rRNA from 1 species
GACAGAGGGGGCAAGCGUUGCUCGGAAUCACUGGGCGUAAAGGGCGCGUAGGCGGGAUGGCAAGUCAGUCGUGAAAUCUCUCGGCUCAACCGAGAAACGUCGGCUGAUACUGCCGUUCUUGAGGGAUGCAGAGGAGACUGGAAUUCCCGGUGUAGCGGUGAAAAUGUGUAGAGAUCGGGAGGAACACCGGUGGCGAAGGCGGCAUCCUGGACCGGUAUUGACGCUGAGGCGCGAAAAGCCAGGGGGAGCAAAACGGGG